CCGCAGGUGGCCUCUUUGGAUCCGGGCGGAAAGCGGCACCAUCAGAUCAAGAGAAAGGAGGCAAACCCGCAGAAGAAGAGAGGGUUGGGGAGCACAUACCCGUGAGGAAGAUGAGAUCCUACCUCCUCAGCCUCAGCAUCGUCAAGAAAUCGAUGAGCGGGACUAACUCAGAUAAGCUAGGAUCUGGAUCCUCUCUUCGAUCUACAGCAACAUCGCCGGAGCAGCAGCAAAGCGACCUCACUAAACAAUAUAGCAGCUUAUGUGUGUGUGGUAUUCUCUGCCCAGUGCCCACUUCUAAUCCUAUUCUCUUACUUGCUCAAAGCUUUUCUUAUUCUUUGGAGGGUCACCUCCGACGAUUUGCUUCUGCCUUCUUUGCUUUCUUCAGAUGCGCGAGGUGAGGCUCGGUACAAAUAGGUGAGGGCCGAGGAGGUCAGGGCCAUUCUUCCUGAUGACCAAAGGAUCUUCCCCUGUAUCCUAUGGCAAGCCCUUGACUUGCUGCUCCCGGGCAAAAUUCGAGCACGGUGCAGGGCACUAGCUAGGCUAGAAGAGAGGCACCACCAUCUGCAACAAUGACAUCCAGAGGGCUAGGGCAAUGGUAGGCAAGGAUGAGCCACAGACCAACGGAAACGUGACGAGGGUGGAGAAGAUGGCGACCAACAGCUCAGGUCCCGUCCUUCUCUUCAUCGAAGUUCCCAUCCCAUCAGCAGAACGAAAGUUUGAGGUUAUGGACGACGAGGUUAGCUGCACAAGCAUGAGCGAAUAGGCACAAAGCAGCACUUCCAAGCUAUUAGACGUGAUGGCUGAGAGAAGAGGCUUAAUCAUUAUCCUAAUUAGGAAUAGGAAAGCUGGAUAUAAUCAAUCCGUAUUUAUGGCUUAGCUGACCCAAUUUGACAUAAACUUGCCAAUAUUUCCCCUCAAAGGAGGAGGAAGAGGAUGGAAGUGGCACUAUGCGUGCCUACAGAGGUGGUGGCUGGGAAGAGUGCCGCUGAUGAUUGCGCGAGGAGGGGCGACAAGAUGGAGGUGGCCCUUCCCAUGGUGGCACAUCCAGAUGUGACGCCCCGUCGUCAUAUCCGUUUUAUGUUCUGUCCGAUGAGGAUGCUCGCAGGCAACAGAUCUGUUCAGCCAAGAGUCAGGUGCAUCUCUGUCACGGUCUUCACUUCAGUACAACAGAUAUCUGGCCUUGCUGAUGGUUAUUUUAUUUAGAGGUACAGUCUUUCAGUCAUGUUGAACCGAACAAUGGAAAUAAGAAAGUGUUUGGCCAAUUCAUGUUCUGGGCGACAACAUGAUUGCUUUCACAAGCAAAUAUGCAAUUCUGCUUGUGGUAACCACUAAAGGGUGAGCCGACUUCCUCCCUUCUGCAAUUACCAAUACAAUAGGCAAAAGAUGUGUUGUCGUCGCCGAAGUCACAGGAAACUCUCGAUGCCGAAAAUGUAAUUCCCUUUAACAUCUCAAAAACUGAAUGAUCAACACCACAGGGCCAACAGAGCCAUCCUCCAGUCAAUUUUUUACCCUCCCAUGUAAAAACCUAUCAGUGUAACCCAUGUACCUCCUCUCAUGUAUUACCCUUUAUUGUACUUGCUCCUACGUGUAACUUUGCCUCGCACAAGUAAACAAAUCAAUUCCUCUAUGAUAUAAAUAAACUGUCGCAAGCAGCA